CACUCAUAGCCAUCCAGCAACACUCUGUGCAACUGAAAGUGCCUCCUCUCUGUAUUCCAUACUCAGUGAUUUGACUGCAGAUCAAAGGAUCAACAUAGCAUCAUUGCAUCUCCCUCAUCUCUAAGGGAUUAUAAAAACCCAUUUGAACUGGGAUGGGACUAGUCUCAAGCACAUGAGCCCAGAUGAGCACUACAAAAGAAGAAUGAAGAGUUGCUGUACUGGCCAUGAUGCAACUGGAAUACAUCCAAGAGUUCUCAUGAUGAAUGACAGAGUGUUUGAGUGAAAAGACAGGAAAUGUUAAGAAACGCUUCUCUGAGAAGCCAAUUUGAAAAUACAGAUGCGUAUAUUUUUACACCUCAUAUGUGCAAAAAGUUCAAUACCAUGUUGAGAAAAAAAUUAUAACUCUUCCACUGUCAUUGAAUUCCAAUUAUUUAAGGCUAGUUAUGCCUU
rnacentral:lncRNA from 1 species